AAUACCAAGGCGCUUGAGAGAACUCGGGUGAAGGAACUAGGCAAAAUGGUGCCGUAACUUCGGGAGAAGGCACGCUGAUAUGUAGGUGAAGCGACUUGCUCGUGGAGCUGAAAUCAGUCGAAGAUACCAGCUGGCUGCAACUGUUUAUUAAAAACACAGCACUGUGCAAACACGAAAGUGGACGUAUACGGUGUGACGCCUGCCCGGUGCCGGAAGGUUAAUUGAUGGGGUCAGCGCAAGCGAAGCUCUUGAUCGAAGCCCCGGUAAACGGCGGCCGUAACUAUAACGGUCCUAAGGUAGCGAAAUUCCUUGUCGGGUAAGUUCCGACCUGCACGAAUGGCGUAAUGAUGGCCAGGCUGUCUCCACCCGAGACUCAGUGAAAUUGAACUCGCUGUGAAGAUGCAGUGUACCCGCGGCAAGACGGAAAGACCCCGUGAACCUUUACUAUAGCUUGACACUGAACAUUGAGCCUUGAUGUGUAGGAUAGGUGGGAGGCUUUGAAGUGUGGACGCCAGUCUGCAUGGAGCCGACCUUGAAAUACCACCCUUUAAUGUUUGAUGUUCUAACGUUGACCCGUGAUCCGGGUUGCGGACAGUGUCUGGUGGGUAGUUUGACUGGGGCGGUCUCCUCCUAAAGAGUAACGGAGGAGCACGAAGGUUGGCUAAUCCUGGUCGGACAUCAGGAGGUUAGUGCAAUGGCAUAAGCCAGCUUGACUGCGAGCGUGACGGCGCGAGCAGGUGCGAAAGCAGGUCAUAGUGAUCCGGUGGUUCUGAAUGGAAGGGCCAUCGCUCAACGGAUAAAAGGUACUCCGGGGAUAACAGGCUGAUACCGCCCAAGAGUUCAUAUCGACGGCGGUGUUUGGCACCUCGAUGUCGGCUCAUCACAUCCUGGGGCUGAAGUAGGUCCCAAGGGUAUGGCUGUUCGCCAUUUAAAGUGGUACGCGAGCUGGGUUUAGAACGUCGUGAGACAGUUCGGUCCCUAUCUGCCGUGGGCGCUGGAGAAUUGAGGGGGGCUGCUCCUAGUACGAGAGGACCGGAGUGGACGCAUCACUGGUGUUCGGGUUGUCAUGCCAAUGGCACUGCCCGGUAGCUAAAUGCGGAAGAGAUAAGUGCUGAAAGCAUCUAAGCACGAAACUUGCCCCGAGAUGAGUUCUCCCUGACUCCUUGAGAGUCCUGAAGGAACGUUGAAGACGACGACGUUGAUAGGCCGGGUGUGUAAGCGCAGCGAUGCGUUGAGCUAACCGGUACUAAUGAACCGUGAGGCUUAACCUUACAACGCCGAAG
rnacentral:rRNA from 1 species